CGCUUUGUGGCCUGUCUCCCCUUGGGGCAACAAGGCAGGACAUUGUGCCUUGCACCUCUAGGGCAAUGUAGAACCCGGCAGAGCAGAAGUUCUACUUCAGCAUGAUCAGGGCUGGGAAGAAACUGCGUUUCACAGGUCUUUGUAAGCCAUGUUCCCGGUAGGCUGUAAGAGCACUGUGGAGAGCGAGUUGUUUCUUAGCUUCCAAAAUAGUGGAAGCAGGACGCUUUCUGGCCUGCCUCACCUUGAGGAAACAAGGCAGGACAUUGUGGCUUGCAUGUCUAGGGCAGUAUAGGACACGGCAGAGCAGAAGUUCUACUUCAGCGAUAUCAGGGCUGGAAAGAAACUGUGUUUCACAGGCCUUUGUGAGAGAUGUUCCCAGUAGGCUGUAAGAGCACUGUGCAGAGCGAGUUGUUUCUUAGCUUCCCAAAGAGCUGGAAGCAAGACUGAUUGUGGCUUGUUUCCUUUGGUGACAAUGACUCAAGGCUUUGCUUCUUCCACCUCUAGAGAAAAGUAGGACAUGGCUUAGAGCAGAACUUCCAAGGCGGUGAGAUCAUGACUGGAAACAAACUGCAUUUCAGGCCUUUUUAUGAGAGGUUCCCGGUAGGCUGUAAGAGACCUGUGGAAAGCGAGUUCUUUCUCACCUUGCAAAGAGCUGGAAGAAAGACGGUCUGUGGCAUGUCUCCUCUUAAGGAAGUCAGGCAGGCCAUUGUGACUUCCAACUCUAGGGCAAUGUAUGAAACGGCAGAGCAGAAGUUCUACUUCAGCGAGAUCAGGGCUGGGAAGAAACUGCGUUUCACAGGCCUUUGUGAGAGAUGUUCCCGGUAGGCUGUAAGAGCACUGUGGAGAGCGAGUUGUUUCUUAGCUUCCCAAAACCUGGAAUCAAGACCGUUAGUGGCUUGCCUCCUUUAGUGGCAAUGACUCCGCGCUUUGUGUCUUCCACCUCUAGAGCAAUGUAGGACAUGGCUUAGAGCAGAAUUUCAAAGGCGUAGAGAUCAUGGCUGAAAUCAAACUGCAUUUCAGGCCUUUGUAUGAGAGGUUCCCUGUAGGCUGUAAAAGCCCUGUAGAAAGCGAGUUCUUUCUCACCUUGCCAAAGAGCUGGAACUGAGACGGUCUGUGGCCUGUCUCCUCUUAAGGAAGUCAGGCAGGCCAUUGUGACUUUCACUUCAAGGGCAAUGUAUUACACGGCAUAGCAGAUGUUCUACUUCAGAGAGAUCAGGGCUGGGAAGAAUCUGCGUUUCACACACCUUUGUAAGACAUGUUCCCGGUAGGCUGUAAGAGCACUGUGGAGAGCGAGUUGUUUCUUAGCUUCCCAAAGAGCUGGAAGCAAGACGCUUGUGGCCUGUCUCCCCUUGAGGAAACAAGGCAGGACUUUGUACCUUUCACUUCUAGGGCAACAUAGAACACGGCAUCACAGAAGUUCUACUUCAGCGAGAUCACGGCUGGGAUGAAACUGAGUCUCACAGGCCAUUGUGAGAGAUGUUCCUGGUAGGCUGUAAGUGCACUGUGGAGGGCCUGUUGUUUCUUAGCUUCCCAAAGAUCUGGAAGCAAGACCGUUUGUGGC
rnacentral:lncRNA from 1 species